GUCACUCAAUAUCAAAUACAUACCACCCGUUUCGACCUGACAAAUUGUCCCAACAUAUUGUUUGGAGGUUUUUAUCAUUUUCUUAUCAGUCAAUUCUUGGUUUACAGUCAGUGAUAUUUUAAAACUGGAGGAAGAUGAGUUCCAGUGAAAUUAAGUGUCUUACCCAGGUCAAAAGAACAAGUAAAUAGGAAGCCUGGACUCCACCCUAAGUAGUCAAAUAGAGUAUGCAUGCCGGUAUAUCACACUGACUGGAGCAGAAAGCCUAUUUGUCACUAGGCCCCAUCGCCUCUACAAAGAAUUUCCAUACUUCCUCCAUAUCUAAGAAAAGUUACAAAAUAAAGGAGGCCGGACCCAGACCUGGGGCAGGUCACUUCACCUGUGCUGUGGCAGCGCUCCAGGGACUCCUGGCUGGCUUCGCAGCAACAGCUGGGGCGGGACCUGGGUCCCAGUCCUACCGCCCUGCGCCAGGGCCUCUGCAACAGUGACAGCCACAGCAGCUAGAACUUAACAUUUUUAAUACAAGGACAAAAACAACCUCGAAAACUUACCAACUGUUUGAUGAGAUUGCCCCUGUGUUACCUUUAUUAUCGUUCAGGUUUGAAAAAAGAUUGAUUCUAAAAAGGAAUGAUAGA